GUAGGUGGCAAGCGUUGUCCGGAAUUAUUGGGGCGUAAAGCGCGCGCAGGCGGUUCUUUAAGUCUGAUGUGAAAGCCCACGGGCUCAACCGUGGAGGGUCAUUGGAAACUGGAGAACUUGAGUACAGAAGAGGAAAGCGGAAUUCCACGUGUAGCGGUGAAAUGCGUAGAGAUGUGGAGGAACACCAGUGGCGAAGGCGGCUUUCUGGUCUGUAACUGACGCUGAGGCGCGAAAGCGUGGGGAGCAAACAGGAUUAGAUACCCUGGUAGUCCACGCCGUAAACGAUGAGUGCUAAGUGUUAGGGGGUUUCCGCCCCUUAGUGCUGCAGCUAACGCAUUAAGACACUCCGCCUGGGGAGUACGGCCGCAAAGGCUG
rnacentral:rRNA from 1 species